rnacentral:lncRNA from 1 species
AAUAGGAUAUGAUAAGUAUCAUAUCCUAUCGUAUCCUUUCCUGUUCACCAAACGGGCCCAUAAUGCAGAUAAGUAUAUGAAAUUGAAGCUUAAUUUCCUUUAUUCAUGAAAAUUUAGGAUAAGUUUUACAAAAAAAAAACAAAAUGAACAGUUGAUAGCCUUUGUAACAAAACAACUUUAGUAAAGUCGUAAAGAAACUCUCUUGAGCUGAAG